rnacentral:misc_RNA from 1 species
AACCCUAUCAUUGCGAUUGAUUCCAAAUAUAUCGAGAAGGACUACGAAAAGGGAACCCUAUUCUAAUCUCGUGCACCCAUCUGUGCCGACACAGAUGCGAUUCGCCGGCGCGCCGCCGCUGUCGCGAACAUCGCGGCUGAGGCGAAGGCGGCACCGACUAAUCUUGCUAGGACUGUCUGCCGUCAGAUGACGUCGAGACAAGCAUCACCCCCUCCCCCCCCUCUCCAUCGGCUCGCGCAUUAUAGACGCCGCUGCCGCCGACGCCGUUGGCGAAAGCGUUGUCCAUGGCCACACCAUCCGCAAUUGGCGCGUCCGCAGAGCCGUGGCAGCAUGCGGUAAUCACGGAGCGACUCCUUUUCCGCGCAUCAGUCAGCCUCUCAUCCGGCAACUCCUGUUUCUGUUGAUGUGGUCUUUCACUGCGAGACUCGGGAGCAUGGGAGGGCGAGGGGCUCAGGGUGAGGAACGUGGCGCUUCUGAGCGCGGCUGCAUUCACACUUAUCCGGUGGGUCUCGACCUACAGGAGAAUCAGGGUCACAUAUAUUCAAGGCCCUCUUAGUCGCAUCCGAUGAAGAGCAGCUGCCGAUGGCGCGCGGCCCCGCAGUUGUUCAUGGCGAUAAAUGCGAGUAACACGCCCAACUGCAGGCAUGCGUGAAGCUCGGUGAAACCGGCCACGAUGUUGAAGCUCGCACACUACAAGCAGCAGCACACAGGCAGACCCUUUGUGCGCUUGAUUGCGCUGAUGAUGCGCAUGAUGCGCGUGACGGAAACGUUGAUGCGAAGAGGAGUGCUCCCUGCUUUGAGAUUGCUAGCAACGCGGUCUUUUUUUUUCGGUGGUAGUGGUGGGAUGGAGGAGGAGAAAAUUCUGUUGGGAAAGACAUGCCAUCAACCUCGACAAUACGAAUGCAGCCAGCCUUCAUCUUUCCAUUCUGUGCCCACUUCUGUUUCUUAGCGGACUGCUUCUGCAG